rnacentral:rRNA from 1 species
UACGUAGGGCGCAAGCGUUGUCCGGAAUUAUUGGGCGUAAAGAGCUCGUAGGCGGCUUGUCACGUCGGAUGUGAAAGCCCGGGGCUUAACUCCGGGUCUGCAUUCGAUACGGGCUGGCUAGAGUGUGGUAGGGGAGAUCGGAAUUCCUGGUGUAGCGGUGAAAUGCGCAGAUAUCAGGAGGAACACCGGUGGCGAAGGCGGAUCUCUGGGCCGUAACUGACGCUGAGGAGCGAAAGCAUGGGUAGCGAACAGG